AAUCAACGCUGGCGGCGUGCCUAACACAUGCAAGUCGAACGGAUCCUUCGGGAUUAGUGGCGGACGGGUGAGUAACACGUGGGAACGUGCCCUUUGGUUCGGAACAACUCAGGGAAACUUGAGCUAAUACCGGAUGUGCCCUUCGGGGGAAAGAUUUAUCGCCAUUGGAGCGGCCCGCGUCUGAUUAGCUAGUUGGUGAGGUAAAGGCUCACCAAGGCGACGAUCAGUAGCUGGUCUGAGAGGAUGAUCAGCCACAUUGGGACUGAGACACGGCCCAAACUCCUACGGGAGGCAGCAGUGGGGAAUCUUGCGCAAUGGGCGAAAGCCUGACGCAGCCAUGCCGCGUGAAUGAUGAAGGUCUUAGGAUUGUAAAAUUCUUACACCGGGGACGAUAAUGACGGUACCCGGAGAAGAAGCCCCGGCUAACUUCGUGCCAGCAGCCGCGGUAACAC
rnacentral:rRNA from 1 species